rnacentral:rRNA from 1 species
UACGUAGGGUGCAAGCGUUGUCCGGAAUUAUUGGGCGUAAAGAGCUCGUAGGCGGUCUGUUGCGUCGGCUGUGAAAACCCGGGGCUCAACCCCGGGCCUGCAGCCGAUACGGGCAGACUAGAGUUCGGCAGGGGAGACUGGAAUUCCUGGUGUAGCGGUGAAAUGCGUAGAUAUCAGGAGGAACACCUGUGGUGUAGACAGCUUACUGGACCACGACUGACGCUGAGACACGAAAGCGUGGGUAGCAAACAGG